rnacentral:rRNA from 1 species
ACGUAGGGUGCGAGCGUUAAUCGGAAUUACUGGGCGUAAAGCGUGCGCAGGCGGCGCGUUAAGACAGGUGUGAAAGCCCUGGGCUCAACCUGGGAAUGGCAUUGGAUACUGGCGAUCUAGAGUGCGGUAGAGGGCAGUGGAAUUCCCGGUGUAGCAGUGAAAUGCGUAGAGAUCGGGAGGAACAUCUGUGGCGAAGGCGACUGCCUGGACCAGCACUGACACUGAGGCACGAAAGCGUGGGGAGCAAACAGGA